GAGGUUGGCAACCUGAGCCUGAUCCCCAUUCUUCCAAGACUCCUGUGCCCUGAAGAGAGGGAGUUGGGAGUUAGGCAGAAGCCUCAGGUGCCCUGAUGGGGCCAUGGUGGGUCUGAGUGCUCAUCACAGACCAUUAGGCUGCAGGCUGCUGAUACUCUUCUGCCUACUGCAUCCAGGGGCCUCAGGCCAACCCUACCCAACCUCGAACACCGCUGGAGAGGAGGUUUUGUCUGUCCAGGGAGUGCGAGGCAGCUCUGUGGAGCUAGAGUGCAGAACCGGGCCUGCCCCGAUGGCAGUCCUUUGGAGCUUCACUCCGCUGGGUUCCCUGGUUCUCCAACCUGUGGCAGUCACCAGUGGAGCCUCUUCGAAGGUGGAAUCCAGGGCAUUAGCUCUGGGGGUCGUGAGUCUGAGGAACAGCAGCCUGGUGAUAGAGGAGCUCCGAGAGGGUGCCCGUGGCCACUUCCUGUGCCAGACCUUGCUCGUGUCCGGUGGCCAGGUCCACACAGCCUACUUGUACCUCAUGCUCACCGUGCUGGUGCCUGUGUCUAAGCCUCGGGUGCAACUGAAUGACUCAUCCCCAGUAGAGGGCGUCUCCGUGGUGGCUACUUGUGCUGUGAGGGAGGGCACAGAGCCACUGACCUUCUCCUGGCACCAUCACAUACCCCAAGGCCCUGGAGAGGUCCUGGUGGGUCUUU
ensembl:lincRNA